AAUGAACGCUGGCGGCGUGCCUAACACAUGCAAGUCGUACGAGAAAGGGGCUUCGGCCCUGAGUAGAGUGGCGCACGGGUGAGUAACGCGUGGGUAAUCUGCCCUUGGAUUUGGGAUAACUCUGCGAAAGUGGAGCUAAUACCGGAUAGUCUGGCUUUAAUUGAUAAGUCGGUAAAGGAUGCCUCUGCAUAUGCAUUCGUCCAAGGAUGAGCCCGCGUCUCAUUAGCUAGUUGGUAGGGUAAUGGCCUACCAAGGCAACGAUGAGUAGCUGGUCUGAGAGGAUGAUCAGCCACACUGGAACUGAAACACGGUCCAGACUCCUACGGGAGGUAGCAGUGGGGAAUAUUGCGCAAUGGGCGAAAGCCUGACGCAGCAACGCCGUGUGAGGGAUGAAGGCUUUCGGGUCGUAAACCUCUGUCGGAAGGGAAGAACGGGUGAGGGUCUAAUAGGCCUUCAUUUUGACGGUACCUUUAGAGGAAGCACCAGCUAACUCCGUGCCAGCAGCCGCAGUAAUAC
rnacentral:rRNA from 1 species